UGACCGAAAAACACACAGACUGGAGGCCAAAGUGAGAAACAUAAAAUUGUAUGGCUCCUCAUUUCAUUGCCUGAAACCGAGAAGCUGGAUAAGUGAUGAGGUUAUUGAUGCAUAUUUGAGCUGUGUGGUCGAGAAAGCAGAUGGAAAGGUACAAGCCAUCUCAUCAGUAGUUUCUACUAUCAUUCUCUCAGGCAGAGCUCCACAAAUGAAAGUGAAGGUAAAUGCUAACACACUUUCAUACAUAGCAUGAGCAAAACACAACUUCAUUCAGUGAGUUAAACACAGUGUGAAACAGCAAAUACAAUGGUGUGUUUGAUGUGGAGGAGUAGUCUAAUAACAAAACAUGUAAUGAAACUGGGAAAUACAGUAUUAUGUACAUUUCAUUGUUUGCUUCACUGGAAACUAUAAUUGCAUUUCUAAUUUUUUUUAAUAAAUACAGAGUGAAUUACUUCAAAAUGAUAUAUUAUUGCUUCCUUACCACACACCAGGUCAUUGGGUUCUUGCGGUAAGAUGUUUUGUAUUGCAGUUGUGGAUUAUGGCCAAUAAAUGUUAUAAUAAAUAAGAGAUUUGUAACCCAACUAUGGUAGCAGCGGGUUUUCAGUGAGUUCAGUGCAUGCAAAUGAAAGUGGAAUGUGAAUGUUAAAAAUAAAAUGCUACUGUCAAGUUAUGUUGUGAGUGUAACUUGGAAGAAUACAUUCUGUAAUUAAUUGAUCGAUGAUUUCACAAUAUGCUUUUCUCUUCUGUGUUACUGAGAUUACAAACAAAUAUGUUAAUUGCAUAAUUUUUGAUAAAACAUUAUAAUGUUUGAAAUAAUCACAUUACCAAUAUAAUUUGUGAAUAUAUUUAAACUCACAGCCUCGAUUGGAAAAAAAAAGAAUUGUUAAUAAUUGACCCCUUGUGUGAUGAGAUGAGAUAUGAAAGAACAUGCCUGAGGAAUUGGAGGUGAUUUAUUAGAUACUUACUUUUACAGUGGACAUUAACUGUUCCAUUGAAAUUGUGUUUGAAGGGAAUGUAACAAUUGUGAGACUAAUCUUCCUAUUAGCUACAAAUAAAAAUUGAAACAGCA